rnacentral:tRNA from 1 species
UCAUGGCUCAGUGGCAGAGAAUCUGCUUUGCAUGCAGAAGGUCAUGCGUUCAAUCCCUGGCAUUCCCAUUUAAGGAU